rnacentral:hammerhead_ribozyme from 1 species
AUCCAACUGACGAGUCCCAAAUAAGACGAAACCCAUGCCCUGGAU